AGGGCUCUUACAAGCUGCAGUGACAGCUUCAGAUCGGUCACGGUGGGAGCAUUUUCACCACGGACAUUUGGCAAAUGUUACAAAUUAGAGGUCUCUCCAUCCCACCGCUCCCCGCGGAAAGCCCCUCUCUAACUCCAAAUACGGUAACCCGGGACGGGGAAGGUAGCCUGCGAGCAGGGAUUUUCUCAGACAAACCACCAAGGAUGGAAUCGAUGUCACCGAGAAGAGAUACAUUCCUGGAAAAGGGAGUUUGUGGGGAAGAAGUUUUUUUUAACCCCCCUAGAACAGCCGCUACCCCAGGUCAAGGGCCCUGCAUCAGAAACAGCUGGGUUCGGGCGACAGCUCUUGGGCUCGCUAAACUGUGUGACCACGAGCCUCACAUCUCAAUGCCCAGUUUCCCUGUCUGCAGGUGCGGUUAAUAGUAACAUCUGUCUCCAAUGGAAUCAUCAGGCGAUGCAUUUAAAUCUUAGAGCGUUGCCCAGCACAGAGGAAGCGCUCCAUCUAUGUUAACCGCGACCAGUUAUUGAUUAGAACCCCACAACCUCAGCAGGGAGGGAGCUGAUCUUCCUAUCUUCCUCCUAAGACCAGUUUCACCUUUAGGUGCCCUUCCCAGGGCUGGGAGGCGGGGAUUGGCUCCUCUGUCCUCCCCAGCAGCUACGCUUUGACCUGAGCUUCCUCUGGGCUCCUCACGUAUGCCUGUCCCCUGCGAUCAGUACAACGAACAAAGUAUCCCCUAGAACACAGAGAGUCAUACGGUGAUUCUCUGAAUGCACAAGCGUUAAGGAUGUGAGCGGUAGACAUCCGCAGAAGCCAAAGGUGUUCUGGAGAGGAGUUCCUAGCCGGCUAAGGUGUCCAGUAGGUGGAUGAUCCCCAUACCCGAAUAUGGGGAUUAGGAGGUACAAACUUCCAGUUACAAAAUAAAUAAGUCGGACUCACGCACAAAAGAUAUCCACUAUGUAAGUACAGAAAAGGCAGGACUCAAAUCUGAUUGUAACUACAAGACCUAAAUCCUCUUAAAGUCGUAUUGCCUUCUAACCAGCAGGAAAACUGUUUCCCAAGAGUCUGACACUUCUGAUUACAAAUUGACUAACCAGAUGAAGUCAUGUGAUGCAUGACUGACGGAUUAUUAGAUCUAAGAGAGAGAGCGUCUUUGUUCAGAGCGGGGGUAGGAGGCAUGCGUCUGGCUGAAAAUGAGGGGCGCUGUUGGUAAAACAGAGGAGGGAGAGCCCACAGUCACUGCCACCGUAGUCGCCUUCCUGAAGCUGUUCGCUUCUUGACCUCCGGGCACUUCGGGCUGACCCUCCACGCCCCCGGGAUGAUCUGUCACAUGCCUGGCCCUGUGACUGCCACAUAGUAAUCGAUGUUAAUUGAAGGCAGAGCCGAAUGGCAGAUGAGCACAUGGUCUUGAUUCCGCUCUAUGAAAACACUCAGCACAUCCAAUCAACCUGACGUUUGCAGGAGAGCUGGGAUCCUGUGAGGUGCCGCCGUGCAGCAAGCAUCUGGACUAUGUGCAAGAUAGAGAGGACACGUCGAAGGCAUCCCCUUUCCAGCUACAAACCCAGCAUUGUGCAUGCUCGUCCCUGCGAUGGCCCUCAGCCUGCUGGCUGACGGAGGCUGUCCUGGCUGUGCUUGCCGGCAUCAUUCUUGUCAAACGUACUAGAUGGCUACUGUUGUGUUCAGCAAACAGCCGGUGCCUCACGCCAAAUGUAGUC